CUGGCGCCGCCGGGGCACUGGGAUGCUGCAGGAGACCCCUGAGAUACAUACAGGUGGACUCUCCCGGGGCGCAGGGAAGAAGGGAAAGCUGACUCCGAGAAGUAAGGAGGCCUGGCGGGGCAGAAGCCCCUCUGGGAAGAUUACAGGGACAGUCGGGGCCAUGGCGGUCAAAGGGAGAAGAGCAACGAGGGGUUUUAAAGGUCGGAACCGAGAUGCCCUCUAAAGAGGACGCCAUGAAGGAGAAGAACCCUCUGAAGAGGGACCGUGUGGAAGAUGCCCCGAGGACUCGGGGCGGCGGAGCCCGCGGGUUCAGCCCCCCGCGCCCGCACGGCCCCUGCCCGCGGAGGCCGCCCGCGGGAGCCGGACCCCGGGAGCCCGUUGCUGGGGCCCGCGAGGUCGCCGGGCCGCAGGCGUCGCGCUGAUUGGCUGCGCCUCGGGCGGAAGUGAUGCUGCUGUCACUGCUCCUCAGGCUCCCGGGAAGCCGCGAGUUUCCGCAGGGAGGCGGCGGCAGCUGCGGCCGGGUCGGUCUGUAGCCUUUGCUGAAUCAUCACAGAGAAAGUGAUGCCUUUUCUCCAUUUGCACAACAUGAGUGUGACGUGGUUAGCCAGACCAGGAGCUCAACCUCAUGUAGAGUCCAGACCACUGCUCUGAUGCCGAAGGGGAGGCAGAAAGUGCCACACUUGGAUGCCCCCCUGGGCCUGCCCACCUGCCUCUGGCUGGAAUUAGCCGGGCUCUUGUUACUGGUUCCCUGGGUCAUGGGCCUGGCAGGGACAGGUGGGCCUGAUGGCCAUGGUCCAGGGGGGCCAAGCUGGGCUGUGCACCUGGAAAGCCUGGAAGGUGAGGGGGAGGAAGAGACUCUGGAGCAGCAGGCGGAUACCUUGGCUCAGGCAGCAGGGCUGGUGAAUGCUGGACGCAUCGGAGAGCUUCAGGGGCACUACCUCUUUGUCCAGCCUGCUGGGUACAGACCGGCCCUGGAGAUGGAGGCCAUCCGGCAGCAGGUGGAGGCUGUGUUGGCUGGGCAUGAAGCUGUGCGCUGGCACUCAGAGCAGAGGCUGCUAAGGCGGGCCAAGCGCAGCGUCCACUUCAAUGACCCCAAGUACCCGCAGCAGUGGCACCUGAAUAACCGACGGAUCCCAGGCAGGGACAUCAAUGUGACGGGUGUGUGGGAGCGCAAUGUGACUGGGCGAGGGGUGACGGUGGUGGUAGUGGAUGACGGAGUGGAACACACCAUCCAGGACAUUGCACCCAACUAUAGCCCUGAGGGUAGCUAUGACCUCAACUCUAAUGACCCUGACCCCAUGCCUCACCCGGAUGUGGAGAAUGGCAACCACCAUGGCACACGAUGCGCAGGAGAGAUCGCGGCUGUGCCCAACAACAGCUUCUGUGCCGUGGGUGUGGCCUACGGGAGCCGCAUCGCAGGUAUCCGGGUACUGGAUGGACCUCUCACAGACAGCAUGGAGGCAGUGGCAUUCAACAAGCACUAUCAGAUCAAUGACAUCUACAGCUGCAGCUGGGGACCAGAUGAUGAUGGGAAGACAGUGGAUGGCCCCCAUCAGCUUGGAAAGGCUGCCUUGCAACAUGGGGUGAUUGCUGGUCGCCAGGGCUUUGGGAGUAUCUUUGUGGUAGCCAGUGGCAAUGGGGGCCAACACAACGACAACUGCAACUACGAUGGCUACGCCAACUCUAUCUACACAGUCACCAUAGGAGCUGUGGAUGAGGAGGGACACAUGCCUUUCUAUGCAGAAGAAUGUGCCUCCAUGCUGGCAGUCACCUUCAGUGGUGGGGACAAGAUGCUUCGGAGCAUUGUGACAACUGACUGGGACCUUCAGAAGGGCACUGGCUGCACUGAGGGCCACACAGGGACCUCAGCUGCAGCACCUCUGGCGGCUGGCAUGAUAGCCUUAAUGCUGCAGGUGCGGCCCUGCCUCACGUGGCGUGAUGUCCAGCACAUCAUUGUUUUCACAGCCACCCAGUACAAGGAUCACCGUGCAGAGUGGGUCACCAACGAGGCAGGCUUCAGCCAUAGCCACCAGCACGGUUUUGGACUGCUCAACGCUUGGAGGCUUGUGAAUGCAGCCAAGAUCUGGACAUCUGUUCCUUACUUAGCAUCCUACAUCAGUCCUGUGUUAAAAGAGAACAAGGCAAUUCCGCAGUCCCCCCGUUCCCUGGAGGUCCUGUGGAAUGUCAGCAGGACGGACCUGGAGAUGUCGGGACUGAAGACCCUGGAGCAUGUGGCAGUGACAGUCUCCAUCACUCACCCACGGCGAGGCAGCUUGGAACUGAAGCUGUUCUGCCCCAGCGGCAUGAUGUCCCUCAUCGGCACCCCCCGCAGCAUGGACUCGGAUCCUAAUGGCUUUGAUGACUGGACCUUCUCCACUGUGCGAUGCUGGGGGGAGAGAGCCCGGGGGACCUACAGGCUUGUUGUCAGGGAUGUCGGAUAGCAACAAAAAUUCCUUGUUGAAACCACAUUUCAAGUCCUUUCACAUAUAACCAUCCUUCGGCCAGCCCUGAUAGGCAGGGGAUGAGUCAUUCCAGGUCGGCAUCCUUCGGCAAUGGCAGCUGACCCUAUAUGGCUCUGUGUGGAGUCCAGUAGACAUCAGGGACAGACAAAGGCUGUUAGAAAGUGCCAUGAGCGGAAAAUACCUGCAUGAUGACUUUGUCCUGCCCUGCCCGCCUGGGCUGAAAAUUCCUGAGGAAGAUGGUUACACCAUCACCCCCAACACCCUCAAGACCCUGGUGCUGGUAGGCUGUUUCACCGUCUUCUGGACCGUUUACUACAUGGUGGAAGUAUAUUUGAGCCAGAGGAAUGUGGCUUCCAACCAAGCUUGUAGGAGUGGACCCUGCCACUGGCCCCAUCGAAGCCGGAAAGCCAAGGAGGAAGGGACAGAGCUAGAAUCAGUGCCACUUUGCAGCAGCAAGGAUCCAGACGAAGUAGAAACAGAGAGCAGGGGCCUUCCCACCACUUCUGACCUCCUUGCCCCAGACCCGUUGGAGCAAGGGGACUGGAGCCUGUCCCAGAACAAGAGCGCCUUGGACUGCCCCCAUCAGCACCUAGACCUACUGCACGGGAAGGAGGAGCAGAUCUGCUGACCUCAGGGCCUGACAGUAUGGGACAGGCUCUUCUUUCCCAAAAUUAGGGAGCUCCGGAGAGACCUGAUGCUUACAUCUGGAAUCUGAGGCCUAAACAGCAUCCUGUGACUCCACUCAGAGGGUGAGGGCCUUCUUAAGAUACAAAUGGCAGAGGAUUGGUGCCAGAGAAGUCUGGUGAGAGCCACAGGGUCUUCCUGCAGCCAAACAGGAGCUUUUGGGGAGAAGGUCUUGGACAGGGGAUUGGCGCCCCCUUUGGGUAGUCCUCCAUCUUCAUCUCUCUUGGGCAAGCCAGUUGUCUAGGUCCCCCAUGCAUGGGGGCCCCCCACCCACACGAGUUGAGAAGGUGCCUGCCAUAGCCAGGAGUGCAUCUCCAUGGAAACAUGACUGGGGUCACUUGGGAAGAAGACUUUGGGGUAAAGGCUGGGAAGAGCCCCUGGACAUGCCUGUCCUGAAAGUGGCCACCUCCAUUAUCCAUUCCCAAGAUGCCUGAUCAGAAGCCAACCUUGAAUGAACCCCUGGCUCUUCACCACCACCACCACCACCCCCCACCCGCCGUGAUUGGUCCGAUGCUGCUGGCACAGCUGGGAUACACACAGCUUCCCCGGGCCUGAGCUGCUUCACUAGGGAAUCCCACGGCAGGACUGCAGAGCAGAUGGCAGACGUGUGUGUCGGAGGAGACAGCCUUGAGAGCCGCUGCCACUCCAGUCCUGCCACCACCCUGUCUUCCUCUGCAAGUGCUCAGGGAAAUGGCCUUCCCGCCAGAGGCCAGCUAUCUGCCUGACAGGCUGUGACUCUUCUCUCAAUCUUGGCCUUCUCCCCUCUUCUGAGCUAGUUGGUUGAUUUGAAUUUUUUUUAAUGCUUAAGAUUUGUUUGUCUCUUUUCACAGCAACAUUUUCCUGAAUUUUUUUCUGCACAGCUUUUCCAAAAUAAAAACCUUCCAAACAA